rnacentral:rRNA from 1 species
GACGAACGCUGGCGGCGUGCUUAACACAUGCAAGUCGAACGGAAAGGCCCUGCUUUUGUGGGGUGCUCGAGUGGCGAACGGGUGAGUAACACGUGAGUAACCUGCCCUUGACUUUGGGAUAACUUCAGGAAACUGGGGCUAAUACCGGAUAGGAGCUCCUGCUGCAUGGUGGGGGUUGGAAAGUUUCGGCGGUUGGGGAUGGACUCGCGGCUUAUCAGCUUGUUGGUGGGGUAGUGGCUUACCAAGGCUUUGACGGGUAGCCGGCCUGAGAGGGUGACCGGCCACAUUGGGACUGAGAUACGGCCCAGACUCCUACGGGAGGCAGCAGUGGGGAAUAUUGCGCAAUAGGCGGAAGCCUGAUGCAGCAACGCCGCGUGCGGGAUGACGGCCUUCGGGUUGUAAACCGCUUUCGCCUGUGACGAAGCGUGAGUGACGGUAAUGGGUAAAGAAGCACCGGCUAACUACGUG